ACAUGUGUGGCUCAGUUGGUAGAGUACCUGGCCAGCGUGCAGAAAGCCUAGGGUUCGAUUCCUAGCACUGUA
rnacentral:tRNA from 1 species